CGGAUAGAGCCAUAUGUCCCGUCCUCCAACCCUAGGAUCAGGAGAUUCUCUCCCCGCCGCCGCCGAUGGCCAGGAGGAUGCGGCGACGCACUGCUGCCCACCUGUUCCUUGAAGGAUCACCGGCGUCGCGCUCCUCAAAGCAACUGCAAUGGACGACGAAAAUCAAUGGCCACUCCAGCUCCCAUGUGUCAAUCACCGGCCGUUGCUGCUUCCUCCUAGUUCAUCAGAAGGACCACAUCGCCGACAGUCCCAUGCGGCAAGAUCCUCCAGCAACGCUUGUCUUCGUGCACAGGCGCGUGGUCGCGCAACAGGUUCUGUAGUUGGCGGCCUUGACUGUACCAGCAGGAACGAAAUAUAAUGCCUUCUAUUUCUCUAACCCAGUGGCAGAGUGGCAGUGUAGCUUGAUAGCUUCUGGAGUAUGCCUGGAGCUAUAUGGAUAUAUACUGCACUUGUUGUUGUUCAUCAGAGUUAGUCUGACCUGCUGAACCGAUGUGAUUAAAAAGCAGCCUAAUGAGAAGAGCCUUUGUUCAGCUGACGGCACAACAAUCUCCGGCGCUGCGGUUGCAUCCACAGGUUGCUGUUCUAUGAUAUUUUGCUGAAUAAUUUGUCCAAUUGUAUGGUUAUGGCUGUACCUAUUUUUCGCAAGCUGUUGUAUGGAUGUACUUUGGUUAGAAUGGAACGAACAGACCUUUAAUCAUGUCAGUUGAAGAGGGGUGCCUGUGGACUCAUCCAAGGCUGCAUCAAUUGUUGAUUCAUGGAGCUGAGCAGGACGAUGUUACCACUGAAGCUUCAGGCGACUGUUGGCCUCUUCCUUGCUGUUAAUUAGUUUUCUAGUAAUUUGUUGUUGAUCGCUUGAUCGUUUCUCUCUCCCUGAAUUUAUGUUGUACCUAUACACUAUUGUUCUCCAGCAAUGAAAA